GACGAACGCUGGCGGCGUGCUUAACACAUGCAAGUCGAACGGAAAGGCCCUGCUUUUGUGGGGUGCUCGAGUGGCGAACGGGUGAGUAACACGUGAGUAACCUGCCCUUGACUUUGGGAUAACUUCAGGAAACUGGGGCUAAUACCGGAUAGGAGCUCCUGCUGCAUGGUGGGGGUUGGAAAGUUUCGGCGGUUGGGGAUGGACUCGCGGCUUAUCAGCUUGUUGGUGGGGUAGUGGCUUACCAAGGCUUUGACGGGUAGCCGGCCUGAGAGGGUGAGCGGCCAAGCUACGCUGGGGAUGCGACACGGACUAGUACCGUACGCAAGGCAGGAGUAGAUAAUACUAGGGGAGGAGGGAUAGCGUAGCAAAGCAGUGUGGGGGAAGUGAUGAUUCGGGUAGGAUACUGCAGCCGCUUUUGACGAGGUGAGAGUGACGGUACUGGGUGAAGAAGCACCGGCUAACUACGUG
rnacentral:rRNA from 1 species